GACGAACUCUGGCGGCGUGCUUAACACAUGCAAGUCGAACGGAAAGGCCCUGCUUUUGUGGGGUGCUCGAGUGGCGAACGGGUGAGUAACACGUGAGUAACCUGCCCUUGACUUUGGGAUAACUUCAGGAAACUGGGGCUAAUACCGGAUAGGAGCUCCUGCUGCAUGGUGGGGGUUGGAAAGUUUCGGCGGUUGGGGAUGGACUCGCGGCUUAUCAGCUUGUUGGUGGGGUAGUGGCUUACCAAGGCUUUGACGGGUAGCCGGCCUGAGAGGGUGACCGGCCUCAUUGGGACUGAGAUACGGCCCAGACUCCUACGGGAGGCAGCAGUGGGGAAUAUUGCACAAUGGGCGGAAGCCUGAUGCAGCAACGCCGCGUGCGGGAUGACGGCCUUCGGGUUGUAAACCGCUUUCGCCUGUGACGAAGCGUGAGUGACGGUAAUGGGUAAAGAAGCACCGGCUAACUACGUGCCAGCAGCCGCGGUGAUACGUAGGGUGCGAGCGUUGUCCGGAUUUAUUGGGCGUAAAGGGCUCGUAGGUGGUUGAUCGCGUCGGAAGUGUAAUCUUGGGGCUUAACCCUGAGCGUGCUUUCGAUACGGGUUGACUUGAGGAAGGUAGGGGAGAAUGGAAUUCCUGGUGGAGCGGUGGAAUGCGCAGAUAUCAGGAGGAACACCAGUGGCGAAGGCGGCUCUCUGGGCCUUUCCUGACGCUGAGGAGCGAAAGCGUGGGGAGCGAACAGGCUUAGAUACCCUGGUAGUCCACGCUGUAAACGGUGGGUACUAGGUGUGGGGUCCAUUCCACGGGUUCCGUGCCGUAGCUAACGCUUUAAGUACCCCGCCUGGGGAGUACGGCCGCAAGGCUAAAACCCAAAGGAAUUGACGGGGCCCCGCACAAGCGGCGGAGCAUGCGGAUUAAUUCGAUGCAACGCGUAGAACCUUACCUGGGUUUGACAUGGAUCGGGAGUGCUCAGAGAUGGGUGUGCCUCUUUUGGGGUCGGUUCACAGGUGGUGCAUGGCUGUCGUCAGCUCGUGUCGUGAGAUGUUGGGUUAAGUCCCGCAACGAGCGCAACCCUUGUUCACUGUUGCCAGCACGUUAUGGUGGGGACUCAGUGGAGACCGCCGGGGUCAACUCGGAGGAAGGUGGGGAUGACGUCAAGUCAUCAUGCCCCUUAUGUCCAGGGCUUCACGCAUGCUACAAUGGCUGGUACAGAGAGUGGCGAGCCUGUGAGGGUGAGCGAAUCUCGGAAAGCCGGUCUCAGUUCGGAUUGGGGUCUGCAACUCGACCUCAUGAAGUCGGAGUCGCUAGUAAUCGCAGAUCAGCAACGCUGCGGUGAAUACGUUCCCGGG
rnacentral:rRNA from 1 species